rnacentral:rRNA from 1 species
AAUACCUGAUGGUAUGAUGAGAUUGCAUGAUAGCAUCAUUAAAGAUUUAUCGGUGUACGAUGGGGAUGCGUUCCAUUAGGUAGUAGGCGGGGUAACGGCCCACCUAGCCAACGAUGGAUAGGGGUUCUGAGAGGAAGGUCCCCCACAUUGGAACUGAGACACGGUCCAAACUCCUACGGGAGGCAGCAGUGAGGAAUAUUGGUCAAUGGACGAGAGUCUGAACCAGCCAAGUAGCGUGAAGGAUGAAGGUCCUACGGAUUGUAAACCUCUUUUAUAAGGGAAUAAACCCUCCCACGUGUGGGAGCUUGUAUGUACCUUAUGAAUAAGCAUCGGCUAACUCCGUGCCAGCAGCCGCGGUAAUACGGAGGAUGCGAGCGUUAUCCGGAUUUAUUGGGUUUAAAGGGAGCGCAGACGGGUCGUUAAGUCAGCUGUGAAAGUUUGGGGCUCAACCUUAAAAUUGCAGUUGAUACUGGCGUCCUUGAGUGCGGUUGAGGUGUGCGGAAUUCGUGGUGUAGCGGUGAAAUGCUUAGAUAUCACGAAGAACUCCGAUUGCGAAGGCAGCACACUAAUCCGUAACUGACGUUCAUGCUCGAAAGUGUGGGUAUCAAACAGGAUUAGAUACCC